GACGAACGCUGGCGGCGUGCCUAAUACAUGCAAGUCGAGCGCAGGAAACUGACGGAACUCUUCGGAGGGAAGGCAGUGGAAUGAGCGGCGGACGGGUGAGUAACACGUAAGGAACCUGCCUCAAGGAUUGGGAUAACUCCGGGAAAUCGGAGCUAAUACCGGAUAGUUCAACGGACCGCAUGGUCCGCUGAUGAAAGGCGCUCCGGCGUCACCUUGAGAUGGCCUUGCGGUGCAUUAGCUAGUUGGUGGGGUAACGGCCCACCAAGGCGACGAUGCAUAGCCGACCUGAGAGGGUGAUCGGCCACACUGGGACUGAGACACGGCCCAGACUCCUACGGGAGGCAGCAGUAGGGAAUCUUCCACAAUGGACGAAAGUCUGAUGGAGCAACGCCGCGUGAGUGAUGAGGGUUUUCGGAUCGUAAAACUCUGUUGUAAGGGAAGAACACGUACGAGAGGUAAUGCUCGUACCUUGACGGUACCUUACGAGAAAGCCACGGCUAACUACGUGCCAGCCGCCGCCGUAACAC
rnacentral:rRNA from 1 species